rnacentral:rRNA from 1 species
CCUACGGGAGGCAGCAGUAGGGAAUCUUCCGCAAUGGACGAAAGUCUGACGGAGCAACGCCGCGUGAGCGAUGAAGGCCUUCGGGUCGUAAAGCUCUGUUGUUAGGGAAGAAUAAGUGCUAGUUGAAUAAGCUGGCACCUUGACGGUACCUAACCAGAAAGCCACGGCUAACUACGUGCCAGCAGCCGCGGUAAUACGUAGGUGGCAAGCGUUGUCCGGAAUUAUUGGGCGUAAAGCGCGCGCAGGCGGUUUCUUAAGUCUGAUGUGAAAGCCCCCGGCUCAACCGGGGGAGGGGUCAUUGGAAACUGGGAAACUUGAGUGCAGAAGAGGAAAGUGGAAUUCCAAGUGUAGCGGUGAAAUGCGUAGAGAUUUGGAGGAACACCAGUGGCGAAGGCGACUUUCUGGUCUGUAACUGACGCUGAGGCGCGAAAGCGUGGGGAGCAAACAGGAUUAGAUACCCUGGUAGUCCACGCUGUAAACGAUGAGUGCUAAGUGUUAGAGGGUUUCCGCCCUUUAGUGCUGAAGUUAACGCAUUAAGCACUCCGCCCUGGGGAGUACGGUCGCAAGACUGAAACUCAAAGGAAUUGACGGGGGCCCGCACAAGUGGUGGAGCAUGUGGUUUAAUUCGAAGCAACGCGAAGAACCUUAC